UAAAAGGGCGGCGGCGAAGCCCCCUCUUAACAAGGGAUUCCCCUAGUAACGGCGAGUGAAGAGGGAAGAGCUCAAAUUUGAAAGCUGGUACCUCCGGUAUCCGCGUUGUAACCUCGAGACACGUUUUCCUYKYGKCKMWWKGGACAAUGUUCCUUGGAACAGGACAUCGUAGAGGGUGAAAAUCCCGUACUUGCCAYGGAUGUACCGUGCUUUGCGAUACGUGCUCUWAGAGUCGAGUUGUUUGGGAUUGCAGCUCAAAAUGGGUGGUAGACUCCAUCUAAAGCUAAAUAUCGGGGAGAGACCGAUAGCGAACAAGUACCGUGAGGGAAAGAUGAAAAGCACUUUGGAAAGAGAGUUAAAAGUACGUGAAAUUGUCGAAAGGGAAGCGCUUGAAGUCAGCCAUGCCGCUCAGGACUCAGCCUGGCUUUUGCUUGGUGUAUUUCCUGGGUAGCAAGUCAGCGAUUGGUUUGGAUCGUCGGAGUAAGCAUAGUCCGGWAURUGSYKYYYUYKKKCRYKYWAURGCCUUCUAUUGGAUACGACGAUAUAGACCAAGGAACGCAGCGCGCCUUAUGGCGGGUCUUCGGACACCUUCGCGCUUAGGAUGCUGGGCAUAAUAGGAGGGGGGUUGAACGCCCCCCUCCA
rnacentral:rRNA from 1 species